GACGAACGCUGGCGGCGUGCCUAAUACAUGCAAGUCGAGCGAAUCUCAGGGAGCUUGCUCCCUGAGAUUAGCGGCGGACGGGUGAGUAACACGUGGGUAACCUGCCUGUAAGACUGGGAUAACUUCGGGAAACCGGAGCUAAUACCGGAUACGUUCUUUUCUCGCAUGAGAAGAGAUGGAAAGAUGGUUCUGCUAUCACUUACAGAUGGACCCGCGGCGCAUUAGCUAGUUGGUGAGGUAACGGCUCACCAAGGCGACGAUGCGUAGCCGACCUGAGAGGGUGAUCCGCCACACUGGGACUGAGACACGGCCCAGACGCCUACGGGAGGCAGCAGUAGGGAAUCUUCCGCAAUGGACAAAAGUCUGACGGAGCAACGCCGCGUGAGCGAAGAAGGCCUUCGGGUCGUAAAGCUCUGUUGUUAGGGAAGAACAAGUACGAGAGUAACUGCUCGUACCUUGACGGUACCUAACCAGAAAGCCACGGCUAACUACGUGCCAGCCGCCGCCGUAACAC
rnacentral:rRNA from 1 species